rnacentral:rRNA from 1 species
AUGAAUCUUGCUGGUCGAAGAAUCCUAGUUCGUAGUGUGCUGUCAGCUCUACCUACAUUCGCGAUGACGGUGGUACGACUACCAACGAAGCUUCUGAAAGAUUUUGACAAGGCCAGAUGGUGAUUCCUCUAGGCGCAUGAUGAUGAAUUGUCGGGCGACAAGUGCAAAAUAUAUUGGAAAACUGUUUGCUCCCCCACCCAAAAGGGCGGGCUUGGCAUUCAGGACCCGCAUCUAUUCGGCAGAGCACUACGCCUUCGAUGGCUUUGGCUGGAGUGGAUGCAGCCGGACAGGCCAUGGAAAGCUUUCCCAAUCCCGUGUGACACCAAUGACAGGGCACUCUUCUCUAGAGUCACGAGGAUUGUCAUCGGAGAAGGAAAGAAGGCGAAAUUCUGGACUUGUCACUGGUUGGGAGAUGAACCGCUCUGUCAAACCUUCCCAAGGCUGUUUAAACGAUCUCGAAACAAGCUUCAAACCGUGGCUGAGGCUCUGCAAAACGACAGCUGGAUCCGCGUCCUUCGCAAUGGACGAUAUGAAGAAAUAGUCCAAGACAUGGUGAUGUUGGGACGCAAGAUCAAGGAGCAUGAAGGAUUGAUCAAUGAGCAGCGGGAAGAUGCGAUCAUUUGGGCUGCAAACGGCAAAGGAUCAUACUCCGCGAGCUCUGCUUACAAUGCUCAGUUCGACAAUCAACCCAACAAUGGAAUGAAAUCGUCCAUUUGGAAGGUUGGGCCCCUGGCAAGAUAA